GCCCCCCUAGCUCAGUCGGUAGAGCGUUUCCAUGGUAAGGAAAAGGUCACCGGUUCGAUUCCGGUGGGGGGCUCGA
rnacentral:tRNA from 3 species